rnacentral:misc_RNA from 1 species
CUCUGCAGUCUGCGCGGCAUUCGUGCUUGUUGGCGAAUAAACAAUUCAUAAUUAUUGGUUUAUUAAGUGUUUUUAUAAGUGCUCGGUGCUUUUUAUUGAUUGUUAGAUGUGCGCGGUUGAGUUAUUGAGUUAUUGCAUUAAGAUAACCAGACGCACGUCUCAAAUUUGAUAAUUGUGCGUAGCGCGUCUGUGUGUUGAGACGUCGAUCAGCUGUUUGCUUAUUCCGAUAUUCAAAGUGUAAAUAUCGAUAAAUAUUUUGCAAUUGUGUUCGCGCCUUGGCAAAUAAAUUUGCUUAUUAAAAAGAAAAAUUUAAAAUUGUGUUUGUGCACGGAACCAUAAAAGCUCGUGUUUUAAAUUACCCAGUCAAAUAAAUCGCAGCUGCGUGCUAAGUUCUCCGAUCGCCCAACUCUAUUUGUUACCAUAACUGCUUAAUUGCAUUACCAAAGGCCCGCCCAUUGCUGUUUUGCAUUUAGAUUUCAUUUUCCGAAUUGUUGACAGAGUUCAAGAAAAAAUUCGCAGAACAGAAAAGAUACGUAUCGUUCGCGUAGCAGACGUGACGCUGCCCACCCACUAGCUUUGGACGCCCAGUUGGCCCAGAAGGAGAUACA